UACAGAGGCCUCGAGCGUUAUUCGGAUUUACUGGGCGUAAAGGGAAUGUAGGCGGUAACGUAAGUCAGAUGUGAAAGCCCUAGGCUUAACCUGGGAAAUGCAUUUGAUACUGCGUUGCUGGAGUGCGAGAGAGGAAAGUGGAAUUCCAGGUGUAGGGGUGAAAUCCGUAGAUAUCUGGAGGAAUACCAAUGGCGAAGGCAGCUUUCUGGCUCGUAACUGACGCUGAGAUUCGAAAGCGUGGGUAGCAAAC
rnacentral:rRNA from 1 species